CCGUAGGGUGAACCUGCGGAAGGAUCAUUAAAGAAAUUUAAUAAUUUUGAAAAUGGAUUUUUUUGUUUUGGCAAGAGCAUGAGAGCUUUUACUGGGCAAGAAGACAAGAGAUGGAGAGUCCAGCCGGGCCUGCGCUUAAGUGCGCGGUCUUGCUAGGCUUGUAAGUUUCUUUCUUGCUAUUCCAAACGGUGAGAGAUUUCUGUGCUUUUGUUAUAGGACAAUUAAAACCGUUUCAAUACAACACACUGUGGAGUUUUCAUAUCUUUGCAACUUUUUCUUUGGGCAUUCGAGCAAUCGGGGCCCAGAGGUAACAAACACAAACAAUUUUAUUUAUUCAUUAAAUUUUUGUCAAAAACAAGAAUUUUCGUAACUGGAAAUUUUAAAAUAUUAAAAACUUUCAACAACGGAUCUCUUGGUUCUCGCAUCGAUGAAGAACGCAGCGAAAUGCGAUACGUAAUGUGAAUUGCAGAAUUCCGUGAAUCAUCGAAUCUUUGAACGCACAUUGCGCCCCUUGGUAUUCCAGGGGGCAUGCCUGUUUGAGCGUCAUUUCCUUCUCAAACAUUCUGUUUGGUAGUGAGUGAUACUCUUUGGAGUUAACUUGAAAUUGCUGGCCUUUUCAUUGGAUGUUUUUUUUCCAAAGAGAGGUUUCUCUGCGUGCUUGAGGUAUAAUGCAAGUACGGUCGUUUUAGGUUUUACCAACUGCGGCUAAUCUUUUUUAUACUGAGCGUAUUGGAACGUUAUCGAUAAGAAGAGAGCGUCUAGGCGAACAAUGUUCUUAAAGUUUGACCUCAAAUCAGGUAGGAGUACCCGCUGAACUUAAGCAUAUCAAUAAGCCGGAGG
rnacentral:rRNA from 1 species